rnacentral:misc_RNA from 1 species
GAUGAAGAACGUAGCGAAAUGCGAUACGUAAUGUGAAUUGCAAAUUCAGUGAAUCAUCGAGUCUUUGAACGCACAUUGCGCCCCCUGGUAUUCCGGGGGGCAUGCCUGUCCGAGCGUCAUUGCUGCCCUCAAGCACGGCUUGUGUGUUGGGCCCCGUCCUCCGAUCCCGGGGGACGGGCCCGAAAGGCAGCGGCGGCACCGCGUCCGGUCCUCGAGCGUAUGGGGCUUUGUCACCCGCUCUGUAGGCCCGGCCGGCGCUUGCCGAUCAACCUAAAUUUUUAUCCAGGUUGACCUCGGAUCAGGUAGGGAUACCCGCUGAACUUAAGCAUAUCAAUAAGCGGAGGA